UGAGGAAUAUUGGUCAAUGGAGGCAACUCUGAACCAGCCAUGCCGCGUGUAGGAAGAAUGCCCUCUGGGUUGUAAACUACUUUUAUUGGGGAAGAAACCCUCUUACGUGUAAGAGGCUGACGGUACCCAAGGAAUAAGGACCGGCUAACUCCGUGCCAGCAGCCGCGGUAAUACGGAGGGUCCAAGCGUUAUCCGGAAUCAUUGGGUUUAAAGGGUGCGCAGGCGGUAGUGUAAGUCAGUGGUGAAAUCUCUCGGCUCAACCGAGAAACUGCCAUUGAUACUGCAGUACUUGAAUACAGUUGAAGUAGGCGGAAUGUGUAGUGUAGCGGUGAAAUGCUUAGAUAUUACACAGAACACCGAUAGCGAAGGCAGCUUACUAAACUGAUAUUGACGCUCAUGCACGAAAGCGUGGGGAGCGAACAGG
rnacentral:rRNA from 1 species